ensembl:lncRNA
AAAAAAAAAAAACAGCGUUAAGCACGUUUUCCACCCUGAGUUACACAGAGGAACAUUCCUCGUCGUGCUCCGACCACCGCGCAGCCAGUUCCAACACCGAGAUGACUCCAGUGUACGAGCUCACCAGGAAGAGGACGAGGACGACCCUCCUCACGCCCAGCCCCACACUCGCCAGCGGGGGUGCGAGCCCCGUUGUCAGCCCCGCACGCCAAUCAGGGCGGCCCGCCUGCCUUCCUGUAGGUGUGCCCGGCUCACCUGGGAGCCGCGGUGCUGAUGACAUACCUGCAGCCCCGGGGGAAGCACAGAGAUAGUCUGCUGUCGCCCAGGGCAGGGGGGCUACAGCCGGAACGGCGCCGGGGGCAGCACUGGCCCCGACCCGGCCGCCGCAGGUAGAGAUAGAAAUGUGGGCCCGGCCCCGGCAGCCGUAGCACUUUUCUACAUCGCUGCUGUGCCUCCCUCAUGGGAGUCAGGUCUUGCGCUGGUCACUGGACUGUGGACUUCAGAGGCCCUAGUGUCUCAGGGCUGCAUUUGAACUCUGGACACCUUGUUUUUCUCUCUGCUUUGCUCAUUGGUGUCUUGUGACUUUUAUGGCCUGUCAUGGAGGAACGGAAGAGCUCAUUUCAGCCUGUGUUCUGUGCCAUCAGGGAAGGCAGCCUUCCUCUGGAGUUCAUGUGGCCCACCAUAUCACCUUGCACAGAAAGGUUUGAAGUGGGACAGAAGUGUGACAUGGCUCCUGCAGCAGAAGACAUUUAAAAAGUAAUCCCAAACUUCCUUUGUCUCAAACAAGAGAUUUAAGAAGAAAUUGCAUAGGAGAGACCUGACCUAUACACCUAAGUUCAAGUUUAUUUGUGAGGAGUUGGUUUUCAAGAAUGGUUUGGUGGAGAUGCUUGUUUUGUGCCUAGAGAUGCCAGGAAAUAUCUGAUGCUGAAAUAUCUGUAUGUCUUGAGCUCAUAAAAUUGUUGGAGUUGCAAAAGGGGGCUUUUCUGAAUGUGGACAGAGUGAAAAAUAGGCUGCUGACUUCUGUGAAGUUAUGGGGCAUGUACUUUCAUCAACUGGACAGUAAGAUCACUAGAAUGUAAGCAUGAUACAAGAGUAAAAAUGAUCCGGAAUGUGUUGAAACAAUUAUGAACACCACAUUGUAUGAAAAACAUAUCUGUUGUUUGUGCUAAGCAUCUACAAUACAAAAAUAAAAUACCUUAGGAACACCUUUUAUAUCAUGAAGAAUUUGGAGGCUAUAGACAAAGUGAGGGAUCUGAAUGAACAGUUAAUACUUUUUCUGUUGGUGAAGGGAUGGCUUAAAUAAGACUUUACCUAUAGUUGCAGUCUGUUACAGAGUUUAAAACAGAGCUUUGCAUGUUGAUUGCACUGAGUGGGCACUGGCUUACUAAUCCUGAGGGCACAUCUGUGAGGUAGGAGAGGUUGUGGUUCGCUCAGCUGGGCAGGAGCUGUUAAUCGAAGAGCCAGAUCUAAAAGGGUCCUUUCCAACUCUAACAAUUCUAUAAUUCUGUAUGAAAUCAAAGUAGGAGAUGUGUUGCUGAUUCUACUUUCUUCUUUCACUAUUUUUUUUUCUACCUGCUGCUAUGAACAGUUCACACAGGCUUGCCAUGCUUUCUGCUCAGCUGGCAAUAUUUGCAUCCUCAGCAAAGUAACGGAUGAUUCCAUUUUGCCUGCUUUUGGUACUGGUGGCUGGCCAUUCCUAGCUUCAAUGCAAGAAAAAUCAGAAUAGGAAAAGGAAGCCAGAAAUCACACAUGUAAAGCAAAAACCCUCCUGAAGCCCUGGUAUGAACAGUGACACCUGUCUGGAUUGCACUGCAAAAGCUGCAGCUGUGACUGCUCCUGGGAAAAUCUCUUUAGCUACCACGGGGCCUAGAGCCACUGGAGAAGGGUAAAGGUUAAGCCCUUCUUAGGCAAUUAAUCAUCCUUUUCUGGAUGACAGAGGUGACAUUUCUUAGUAGCUACUGGAGCGAGGUUGGAGCUCUAGCCCACUACCAGCUGCUAGUUGCUUGUAAAAACAGAGUGGGAAGAAGCAUCAACUGUGUAGAGAACAGUCCAAAGAUUUGUGCAACAACCCAAAAUACACAUGGUCCAGAAUUGAUUUCUCUAGCCAGGCUUCACCCCUUCCGGUCACACAGGUGAAUUGCCUUCACCUGUUCUCCCAGGGCUGACCUGGUCCCUUCUGCAGGUGAUCAAUCGGUGGUUCAGUCCGUGACUCAACAGUUCCCAUACAUUACCUAGCAGAGGUUUGGUAAUGUUAUGGUAGUUUGUAUUUCUCUGUAUAGUAUGGACAGAGGAACAUCUAUUAUUGGCAAGGGACUGCCAGCAAGCUGCUCAGGGAGGAUAUUGCCCUAAUCAAAUGUGCCACUAGCAGUAGCUGGUAGGAUGGCCAAGUUUAUUGGAGUUACUGACUGUGGUGGUGAGAAGCCAGACUGUACUCAGCACCUGGUUAUAUGCUUAAUAUUACAUACUGAUGUAGCAUCUCAAGAACACCUCCAUUACACCUUUCUGUCUCUUUUGGUAUUGGAAUUGAAAUACAGUAACGGACUUAACGGACUCGGAUGUAUGGGGAAGGUCUGCAUGCCUCAGUACAGCCUAUAUGUUGAGAAUAUUCUGCUCUACAGUGUGGCCCAAAAGAACCAUGUGAUCUGUCUGUUUGUUUUUUUCCAGUAUUUGAGGUCUCCUAUGCCACCAUAAUCUCAGAUAGCAGAGAGAUGCCUGUGCAAUCUUGCUAUGAAAUUUCAGAGGGAAUAAGAGUGCCCCAGAGAACCCAGACAGGACCAGUGCUUCUCUGCAGGACACUGAAGGUUGCUGGGUGGGAGGUAAUAGGAGAAAGGCCACUAGCAGGACAGAGGUGUAAUGGGUAACAACACAAUAGAGCUGGAAGACGUUGCUAGGUUUUACAUGAUCAGGAACUGCAAGACAAUUUCUUGUUUGCUGUCUAUGGUGUGACUUUACGUAGCUUCUAGCUUCCAGUGAAGCAACUUUCACAACCUGCCCAUUUCUGGGCCAUGUUUACUCAGAGAAAAUUUUUGAAAUACAGAAGCUUCUUUUUGUUCCCCCUUUUUUUUUCUGCUCUGAAAAAUAAACUGAUUAGAUCCUGUAUUUGUUCUUCUAGCAGAGCAGUUGCUGCCAUCCUUAACAACAGCUUCUCAUCCACUGAAACCAUGUUAUCACAUCCCAUUCUGCUUCCAGACUAAAAAAAUCCUGCUCCCCACUCUGUCCUGGGCCUGUUUCCCACAUGCUUUGUCACUGCCAAUGUUCUCCCUUUCAUUUUCAGUCAGCAGCUUUCAGUCUGUGUUCAAGUUACCCAGCUGCACAGCUGGCUCUGGGCAGUCCUUGCUUCAGCUGUGUACAUAACUGCUUCCUUACAGCCUAAGCCAAGAUGUCAAAAGAACACAGCUAAUUCACUGUUGCUAAUAUUGCCAUUAAUAUUUAUUAUAAAAGUAGCACCUUCUGUUGUCAGUUAUUAGUUUCAGGCUACUGCUGAAAGAAAUGAGGCUUGUUGGCAUUCCCUCUUCCCCUAAGCCAUCUUCACAUCCCUCCCACCUUCCCAGCAGACUCAGAUUUGGUUAGGUGUCCCUAACCAAAUAUUUUGACCUGUUCCCUGGACAAGACAAUACAAAAGCUGCCAAACAAUGGAUGAGGACCAGCCUCUGCCUGCUGAUCCUUCUCUAGAGUGACAGCAAGAGCUCCCUGCUGUACUCAGCUAUAGAAACAUUCUCAAUUUUGAUUCCUCUAUGUCACAUUUUUUAAUGAGCUAGUUCGUUCCUGAGUGAGUAAUGGGGGACUGGCAGUGCAAGAAGUAGCCCUAUUUUCUCAAGAAACUACAGAAAAGAAACAACAAGCCUGACAAAAAGACGUAAUUAAAUUGAUCCUUGAAUUUCAGAACAUAUAUUUUAGUAAAGAUCAAACAGUGCUUUGAAAUUCUCUUCUGAUUUUGAAACAUCUGGCUCAUUCUGGUUAUAUCAAAGUAGAAAGAAAAUCAAGGAGAAAUACCAUUUUGGUUAAGGCAAAAGCAGAGAAGAAGCAAAGUAGAGUGAGCCUGUAUUUAUAGAGAAGAAAAACACCUCUUUUUCCACUGCUUUUAACACCGGAGGGGAGGGCUAGGAUGGGAUAGCUCUGCCCCUUCCUGCGGCAGGUCUCACUGAAUGUUUUUUUUAAAGCUAGAAGAAGGCAGCCAAAGGAACAAGGGAGAGCUUUUGCUCCCCUUCUGUCAUGGGUCUAAUGUGAAGCAAUUCCUGCAGAAACUAGACUGUGUUUGAGGCAGUUCAGGUGAAGAUUAGGGCUGAGUUUCAUCUGUCCCAUCUUUAUAUCCACAAAAUAGGUGCCUCCAUCUGAAUUAUGGCUAGACUGGAGAGGCACUGGAGAGACACGGGCAUUGUUAGGCAGCAGUUUGCUCACCUGUCUCAGAUGUCUGCCUUUGGAGUGGUAAGCUCAUGCCCUAGAAAUGCUUCUCUAAUAAAUAUUAAACUGGGGGACUUUUCUUGUUUCAUUGAAUGAUUUGUUCUCAAUUUGUUAUACAAAAGACUUCUUGCUUUUAAACAGCAUUUUUCUAUUCUUGUGUGUUUUCAUUUUUAAUAAAGAAUUAAUCCUUGCUCAAAAUGAGGAUGUUCUGGUGUUCUCUGAGAGCAAAUUUUGAGAAUUUGUGAGGACUUCUAUUUUUGAAGUUAUGGGAUGCUAGGCAAGCCAUCCUGGUCUCUUCAGCAGUUCAAACACUAGUCUUGGGGAAAAUAAGCAAAAACCAGGCUAUACCUCCAACCUUUGCUGGAGUUACACAUGAGGUCUUUGACCAGCAGACACAGCAUAGAUGUGCUGCAAACAUGGUGCUAAAUAUGUUCUUCACAAAUAUUUACAGUUAAAUUCAUUGUAAGAAUGAAUCAAUAUUUAAUCUGAAGUAGCGUUAUGAAAUGACAAAUUAUAUCUCAGUCACUGUGAUGACAUGCGUCAUCCAGGGCUAUGUAGCUUUUUUAGCUACAUAGCUAAACAUUUCCUCAUGUGUAUGCCGUUUCUCAUAUGUUUUCUUGCUUAUGUAGAAAACCUCUAUUUGUAAUAAUUGAAAAAAAAUAAAAUAAGGGCUUUUAGAAUUUCUUAAAUGAAAUUAUAAAUGUCUCAAUGUAAAUAUACAUGUUUAGUUAUUGUACAUAUUACUAUAAAUGGAAAUAUACAUAUGUAUCAUUAGAAAACAAGGUAACAGUCAAAUAUUUUAUCCCUAUAGCAAGAAGUCAUACUCUGAGCUGUGUUUCAGAGUGGCUGGUCUUACAGAAGUGUUAUGUGCCUUUAAAGUGGAAGCUCUUGCUUGUCAGUUUCCUGACAUUCAGAGAUGUCCCACAAAAAACUGGGACUAGUGGGAAAAGAGGCUGUGAAGUUUGUGUUACUGUGGGAUGGGAUGCUACAGAAUGAAGUGAAUCCUUAAUAUUUUAUUAUGUUGAUCCACAACGUGAGAAGUGAAUGGUGGUGGUAUGGUAGUAGACAGUGAACCUUCCUACCCAUAUUCCGUAACAUUUUGUUUCUGUGCAUCAGAAGGGCAGUAUGACAAAAUGGCUUCUGAUACAAAGUGAGUAUGAAGCAUAGGUAUGAAACUGAAUUCCCCCGAUAUAAAAAAAAUUGCACCCACUGACGUUCAUUGACACUUGUUGAACAUUUAUGGAGACCAAACAGUGGAUGUCGGCACAUCAAGGCAGGGAGUGGUAUAUUUCAGCAAUGGCAACAGUGAUAUUAGGUCACCUCUGCUGGUGCAGAUUUUUUUUAAUUUUUUUUUUAAAACAAGCUCAGCAUGCAGACUCUUGUUCAUUGCUGGCAAAAACUUUUAGCUAAUGGUGGUGACUGUUGAAAAACUGUGUUUUGUAACUACUCUAUCAAGUAGCAUUAUUGUGCUAUUUAUCUGUUGUCAUUUCCAUAGAGAUAUAUAGAAACUUUUGGAACAACUUAUGUAGAUACAGACUACUACUAAUAUAUAGCUAUGGUCUCCAGAAGACCAACUGCAGGGUCAAGGAAGCAACAGCAUAGAGCCACAGUGUCACAGCCCAGUAAGGGCUUCUCUUCAUCUGUCCCAGCUGGACCCAAUUUCUGGAUGUAUUCCAGAGGAACACAUCUUCUGCUCAGCUCUGAAAAACCAAACAGCUGCUGCUGUGUCCGCACUAGCCCAUGCAAUUGCAGCAGCAACAUGAUCCUCACCUAAUCACAAACUUGGAGGGGAAAACCCAUAGUUAUUCAUUCUCUCUAAGCCAUAUCUGGGUUUCUUCUGGCUUUUCUCAUGAUUCAUGGUUCACACCUACUGGGAUGAAUAUUUAUAUACAUAUUAUUUCCUCUCCCCCACUCCUACCUAUGACUCUGCACUUCACUGCAGCUCUGCCCAGGGAUACCCCUGCUGGAAACUGGCUGACUCAGCACUGAGAGCCAUGAUGGGGUAGCAACAGCACUUCAGAGCCUGAGGAAUGUCAAGAUCUUCUCAGGUUACAUCCUCAGGAAUUCACCUGCUCUUCCCAUGCAUUAGUUGCAUGCUGAAAUGGAAGGUGCAGUUAAAAUCCACUGUUGUAUUAAUGUUAGCAGCUACCUUACAUAUUACCCCAAUGAAAGCAGAUGCCUGAGGUGUAUGGGCAGGACAUGACUGCCUAAAGCCAAGCCCUGAAUAUGCUCACAGUAACCUCUGUGCUGAGAUGAAACAUCGCUGUCAACUCUGCUAGGCAGCUUCUUAGGUUUCAGGGGUACAGAACAAGUACCAUCAUAUUCUGCCUUUUUCUUUAACCUUUCUAAGAAUAUGAGGUCCAGUAUUAAAUGUGGAGGUUGGCAGCCCUGCCUGUGGCAGGGGAGCUGGAUGUUGAUGAUUCUUCUGAUCCCUUCCAACCCAAAACAUUCUAUGAUUCUGUAAAAUCACGUUUAGUGAUUUUUAAUGUUUACUUCUUUAGACAUCUUCUGUUCAACCCCACUGUGUCCCCAUUGCUGUUGCUAUUUCCCUUCUUGUGAUAAUUGGCUCUUUUUUGAUAGAGUAGUUCAUGUUUUCCUUUUCAAGCCUAAAGUCACAUUAAGGUUUGAUCCUGCAGAUGCCUGAAAUCUCUCUAAUGCAUAAUAUAAAGUGUUUUGCAUGGUAUUUCUGUCUGAAGGCAUAAAGAGAAAUGGAAGGUCAGCUGCUUAAGAAAUCAGGCAAGUAAAUAGCCCAGGAGAGAUAUCACCUUAAACACACAAGCCAGGCGCAGAGCUGUGGGAGGCAACUCUCAGUUCCUGUCCUAGCAUCACAGUUACUAGAAACAGUAUCAAAACAACCAUACAUUAAAGUAGGUCAUAUUAGUCUCAAACAAAUGUUUACUGGACCUCAACCUAGGGUUGUUCUGCUACUGUUGUCAUCAAAAAUUCAGGAAGAAAACACAAACUGUUGAAACUGCUGUUAGAAAGCAGCAUUCCCUUAUUCUCCUAAUACAUACCAGGCAACUCAAUAAAUCAAGAGCAUGCUCUCAGUGUGCAGGUUCUAUGUUUAAACAGCUUAGACAUACUUACAUGACACAUCAGUAUACAAAUUAAUUAUUUUAUAAGAAUUUGCAUUAAUAUAUGCAAAUGUCCUUCUGGGUGUGCGUGGUCACACCUAUUGUGGUCAUAUGACUAUGCACUUCCUUCCCUUUAUUUUCUUCUUUCUCUUCAUCACAGUGCCCUUUGGCUGAUCUCUAGCUAUUUUUCCAUGAUUUGGCAGACUUUCAUUGCUUGUCGUGCCAUAAUGAGCAGCUUUCUAUCCUAGUAGAUUGACUCAAAACAAUUUAAGUAAAACCCAAGAAAAAGUCCUUGCACCUGAUGGAUACAAAGAUAAAGAGUAGUCUGUUGUGGCUUCAGUGAAGCAUGGAUUAUUCAAAAAAAAAAAAAAAAAAAAAAAAAAAAGGCUGUUUAGAUACUAAGCAAAAAUAUACUGGAAAAUUUUAGAACUAGUACACAUUAAUUUCUGGUCCCUAAACCAGUAUCCUAGUUCCUAUUGCUAAACCAGUCUGUAUCAGAACCAAAACACAUAGCAUCAUACCAGGCACUCUGAAGAAACCCAUUCCAUUCAAACUAAAACUAAGACACUUUACUGUUGUGCUUGAUUACUGUUAAGACCUUUGGCAACAUGUUUGUUGUGCUCCAAUAAACUAUGUCAUGUAACAGGAAUCAAAUAUUUUUAAGUUACAGGCUUUAAAAUUCGUACUAUCUUUUCUUAUCUCUUUUUAAAAGGUUAAAUGGGAAAAGGAAUCACUCUGAUAUGAGUUGCAGUGAUACUAUUAAGCUUGCUAAGUUUCACUGUUGGGUAGCCCUGUGUCCUUACACUGAGCAGAUAAGGUGAGUUCUGUCAAGUCUUUGUAUUAGGUUAAUAAAGGAAGCUCUGCUCUGAAACAUCUAAUUUUGUGCAAGCAAAUAUUGUGCAGUCAAGGUAUUCUGCUCACAAAAAAGCAAAAUUGCUUGUGACAGGAUCUUGGCAAUAAAAGAAGUAAUUUCAAGUAUGCCAAUAGUCAUAAACAAAAAGAAGAGUUGAACUUACCCAACCAUUGAGGGACUAUACAGCACUCCUUCUCUGGAAACAUCCUAGAUCUAUGAGGUGGUCUCCUUUCAGUGGCUGGCCUUUAUAUGAGCCUAGGGUAGCUCUAUGCUGGGUCUGUGCCUUCUGGUCACAUGGGGAGCAAAGGUGCAAAUAGUUUGCUUGUGCUCCUGUCAAUGGUUUCUGGGCCUGUUAGACCCAGUUCCAUGACAGAUGGGGCAGGGGGACCCAAAGACCCAUG